GGCGGGGGAUGGAGGCGGCCGAAGCGGCGGGCGAUGGCGAUGGCGAUGCGGUCGCGGGCGGCCCCCGCCUGCCCCCGCACGGGUCGGGCGGGCGGGCGCUGCGGGUGGUGGAGAUGCACGCGGGCGGGGAGCCGCUGCGCAUCGUGCUGGGCGGCUGCCCGGCCGUGCCCGGGGCCACGCUGCUGGCCAAGAGGCGCCACGCGCGCCAAAGGCUGGACUGGCUGCGGCGGCGCCUGGUGCACGAGCCGCGGGGCCACCGGGACAUGUACGCCGCCCUGCCCGUGCCCAGCGAGCUGCCGGACGCCCACCUCGGCGUCCUCUUCAUGCACGGCCGCGGCUACAGCGUCAUGUGCGGCCACGCCGUGCUGGCCCUCGGACGCUUCGCCGUCGACUACGGGCUGGCGCCGCCGCUCGCCCCCGAGGCCCCGGUGCGCGUGCACUGCCCCUGCGGCCCGAUCACCGCCUUCGUGGGCUGCCGGGACCGCCGCACCACCGGCCGCGUCCGCUUCCACAGCGUCCCGGCCUUCGUCCCGGUCACCGAUCUCCCGGUUGACGUUCCUGGCUACGGACGGCUGAAGGUCGACAUCGGCUACGGGGGCACUUUUUACGCCUUUCUCAGCGCCGAGCUGCUCGGCCUCGAUGUCCGUUCUUCAAAGACGAGGGAUCUGGUGGACGCGGCUAGAGCGGUGACCGCCGCGGUGAAAGAGCAGUUUAAAAUUCAGCAUCCUGAAAGCGAAGACCUCGCUUUCCUCUACGGAACGAUUCUGACGGAUGGAAACGACGCCUUUAGCGAGGAGCCCACCACCAACAUCUGUGUGUUUGCUGACACCCAGGUGGACCGAAGUCCCACCGGCUCCGGGGUGACGGCUCGCAUCGCCUUGCAGUAUCACAAGGGACUCAUCCAGCUGGGACAAACCAGGACCUUUAAAAGCAGCACCACCGGCUCCUUGUUCACCGGGAAGCCAAUUCAGUUCUAUUUUUAGCAACGCGUCAGAGAACAACUGAAGUCGUGGUUAACUCUCGACCAGAGACGAACCUACAAUACAGCGGGAAGCCAAAUACGGUGACUUCAACGCCGUUAUCGUUGAAGUAGCGGGCGAAGCUUAUUACACCGGCACAGCGACCUUCACGGUGGAAGACGACGACCCCCUGAAAGACGGGUUUCUUCUGCCGUGAUUUUCCCCGGGCUCUGCCGGCUCGCCGAUCGAGUGACGUGAUUUUUCUGUGCCUUCUUUUCAAACUACAAGAUAGAGAUUCACUCGUCCAAUGCCAGACUUCCCAGCACACUACACACCUCCCCGAGUAAGCCCCGCAUGCUCAUUUGCACGGCGCGUACCUCGGUGCUCACUUGAAUAUAAAACUCAGCUAGCUAGAAGCGCUUUUUGUGGUGAUUAUGAGAGAGAGAAAAAAGAUCGGUCACGGCGAGCAUUUCUGCACAAUAAUAAAAGCUCUCCAAUAUCUGUG